rnacentral:tRNA from 1 species
GCCUGGGUGGCUCAGUCGGUUGAGCAUCCGACUUCGGCUCAGGUCAUGAUCUCACGGUCCGCGGGUUUGAGCCCCGUGUCAGGCU